rnacentral:lncRNA from 1 species
CCAGGUUCCAAGGGACGCGAACGGCUCCCGGGACGAAAAGGAGAGUGACAGCCGAGUUCUCACAGGAGUGAAGCCACGUGGCGCCGGAGAGCGCGGCGGAAGUAGUAGUGAUGACAAUGACAGGCUGGCGUAGCAGAACUGCGCCACAGAAAUGAGAAAGUGGCUAGAGUACACGCCUAACACUCGCGAGGCCCUUGGGGUCCCUUCCCAGCGCCCCAAGGUAAAAGCAUGGAGGAAGUGACUCAGCCUCUUCUCCCUAGGUGACUUUUACAAAAACAAGAGGAACGGAACUCCACAAACUUCGGAAAGCGCAUGCGUGUCCCAGCCCGCUCCUUUUCCCUGGUUGGACGCGGGAAGGCAGGGUUGUCGCUCUCUCUGCGUCGAUCCGUCCCGAUCAGAUCCGGAAAUGGAGGCAGGACAGAGUUAGUGCUGCCUUUCGGAUUCAUCAGAGAAAAGGCCUGUUGCUGAGGGUGACAGUGGUGACUAUAGAGACUCAAUGUCGGUGUACUGAGAGCAAGUGAGUGUGGGUGCUCAGGCCUGAGUGGGACAUCCACAUCAACACCUGCCAAGGCCCAGGGAGCUUCACGGAAGAGGACUCGGAGAGAAGAUGAGAACAAGGCGAUGAGGGGAAGUGCUGCGGAACACCGUUUCCCAGGCAGAACAUGGCCACUGCACUCCUAAUCGCUCAGCAACUGAGAUGACUUGAGUGAGACCUGCAGAAGACUGGGCCCGUCAGCAUCCCAUCAUGGAUGGGUAAGGGAUCAUAAGGACCCGCUUCCCUGAAGCUUACAGUUGGUACUUGCUGGGAUUGGGGUGGGCUUUGAGGAUUUAAAAGGCCACACCAUUCCCAGUGUGCAUGUGUUCUGCUCUCUGUCUCUGUGUCUCUCUCUUUCUCUGUCUCCUAAUUAUAGAUAAGACUGUAAGCUCUCAAGUCUUGUUCCAGUGUCAUCUGCCUGCCUGCUGUUACGCUCCCAUGAUAAUGUUCAUGGACUUAAUGCCUGAAAAUGUAAGUGCCCAAUAAACUGUUUCUUCUUUAAGUUGCCUUUACAUUUUCUUCACAGCAAUGGAAAAGUGACAAGACACAUAUGUGCAUACAGACAGACAUAAACUAUCAUGCAAUUAUUAGUGAAAAGUAGAAAUC